GGAGAGUUGCCAGAGCGGUUGAAUGGGCCUGUCUCGAAAACAGGUGUCGCCAUUUGGCGACCGGAGGUUCGAAUCCUCCACUCUCCGCCA
rnacentral:tRNA from 1 species